AUUGAACGCUGGCGGCAGGCCUAACACAUGCAAGUCGAACGGAGUGGCGGACGGGUGAGUCAUGUCUGGGAAACUGCCUGAUGGAGGGGGAUAACUACUGGAAACGGGCGCUAAUACCGCAUACUAUCAGAUGAGCCUAGGUCGGAUUAGCUAGUUGGUGGGGUAAAGGCCUACCAAGGCGACGAUCCGUAAAUGGUCUGAGAGGAUGAUCAUGCACACGGGAACGUAGACACGGUCCAGACUCCUACGGGAGGCAGCAGUGGGGAAUAUUGGACAAUGGGCGAAAGCCUGAUCCAGCCAUGCCGCGUGUGUGAAGAAGGUCUUCGGAUUGUAAAGCACUUUAAGUUGGGAGGCGUUACCAACAGAAUAAGCACCGGCUAACUUCGUGCCAGCAGCCGCGGUAAUUC
rnacentral:rRNA from 1 species